CAAUAGCGUAUAUUUAAGUUGUUGCAGUUAAAAAGCUCGUAGUUGGAUUUCGGAUGGGACUUGCCGGUCCGUCGUUUCGAUGUGCACUGGCCAGUCCUAUCUUGUUGUCGGGGACUAGCUCCUGGGCUUCACUGUCCGGGACUAGGAGCUGACUAGGUUACUUUGAGUAAAUUAGAGUGUUCAAAGCAAGCCUACGCUCUGAAUACAUUAGCAUGGAAUAACACGAUAGGACUCUGGCUUAUCUUGUUGGUCUGUGAGACCAGAGUAAUGAUUAAGAGGGACAGUCGGGGGCAUUCGUAUUUCAUUGUCAGAGGUGAAAUUCUUGGAUUUAUGAAAGACGAACUUCUGCGAAAGCAUUUGUCAAGGAUGUUUUCAUUAA
rnacentral:rRNA from 1 species